rnacentral:tRNA from 1 species
GAGGGGAUAGCUCGGUGGUAGAGCGCAUGCCCAGCCAUGCACAAGGUCCUGGGUUCAAUCCCCAGUACCUCCA